CGCCUGUAGUCCCAGCUACUUGGGAGGCUGAGGCAGGAGAAUCACUUGAACCCAGGAGCCAGAGGUUGCAGUGAGCCGAGAUCGCGCCACUGCACUCCAGCCUGGGCAAAAAGAGCGAAACUCCAUCUCAAAAAGAAAAAAAGUUAAAUUCUCUCCAUCAUCAUGAAGUUGAAUAUAUUUUUUCUAUCCACAGGCAAAUCUGAGUAGCCUCCAAGAGGCACACAAGCAGAGGAUGGGCUGUGUUGCCCUGACUGCCAGCCCCAGGCACAGAGGACCAGGCCUGGUCAUCCUCACAGACUCUGACCCUGGCUCUUCCCACUCCUCUUCCACUCCAGGACAUCCUACUUAACCCCUCCUGACAUGAGUUUCUUGUGCUUUAGUCUACAGGUUAGGAAAGAGGGGAAGUGAUAAACAAGCUCUCCAACCUGUUGAGGGAUUAGGGGUUCGUCUAAGGCUCCCCAGGGCCUGGCUCUGACAAAGCGUCUGCAACUAAUGAUGCUUCUUGAGCUCUGGAGACAGGAUUUAUGCAUCUAAUAAAGUCUGUAACUCCAGGCUUAGGGGCCGGGGGCAGGAGGCUGAGAGCAUGAAGUCCUGGGGGCGCCAUGGGAGGAGAUCCCAGGUGGCUCCUAAUGAGCCCUGCAUUUCCAUUUGCCUGCUCUAGAUUCCCCUAAGGCUACUGUGAGGCUGGGGGUGGGGGAACAGCAGGUAUAAGAGGUUGGGGUGGCUGUAGGAGGGUAGGUGGCAGCAUGGAUUCUAGGCAGGCUGCUGCACUGCUGGUGCUGCUGCUGUUAAUAGACGGGGGCUGUGCUGAAGGGCCAGGAGGCCAGCAGGAAGACCAGCUCUCCGCGGUGAGUGUGUGUCCCAUCCCCAUAUCACCAUUGCCUCUACUUCGGUUGAGACUUGUGCUCUAGGUUCUGAUACUUUCUCUGGCUGCCAAGGUUGUCAUUAGGUCCUCACAUCUGAGGAAAUGGUUCCGCAGCCUCCUACCACUUGCCCCUGGAAGCCAGUCCCUUCCCCUUGUGACUUACGUGUCCAGGGUAUUUGCCCAUCUUCCUUCCCUGAUACCCCCUUGGCACAGGAGGAAGACAGCGAACCCCUCCCACCACAGGAUGCCCAGACCUCUGGGUCACUGUUGCACUACCUGCUCCAGGCAAUGGAGAGACCUGGCCGGAGCCAAGCCUUCCUGUUUCAGCCCCAGAGGUUUGGCAGAAAUACCCAGGGAUCCUGGAGGAAUGAAUGGCUGAGUCCCCGGGCUGGAGAGGGGCUGAAUUCCCAGUUCUGGAGCCUGGCUGCCCCUCAACGCUUUGGGAAGAAGUGACAUGUCAUCCCUUGAUAUGUCUGCAUGCAAGGUCCACACCCAAAAGUGUCAAUGUUUGCCCCCCAAAUAAAAUUGUCUGGCUUCUGAA
rnacentral:lncRNA from 1 species